AAGAAAAGAGGUAUGUAACUCCUUUUAUCAAUUGUGUACUACAUUCGCGUAAUAAUCUAACAUAUAGACGAUUCAGCGUGAAAUUAUUGUCAACAAACCCACGUGGAGCACAAAUGAUUUACAAUGAUUGACUGGAAGUGACAGGCCUUCUCUUCAAAAUAAAUAAGAUGUGUCCCUGCUACGGAGGCAGCUAACAGAAAGGGGAUAUAAUUAAGAUUGCAUUGUGGAUUUGCCCUGUGCCACCUCUAAAUGGCAGAAGAAAACUCAACUCAGCACAACAUGCACAACCAGAAACACUUUUCUGAAGAAAAUUCUGCCAAGAGACAGUUGUGAAGGGAAUCGUGUAGAUAAUCUCCAGAAAAGAAAUCACCACUGAUAUUGGGAUGUA